GAUGAACGCUAGCGGCAGGCCUAACACAUGCAAGUCGAGGGAGAAGCCCUUUCGGGGGCAGACACCGGCGCACGGGUGCGUAACGCGUAUGCAACCUACCUUUCACAGGGGGAUAGCCCGAAGAAAUUUGGAUUAAUACCACAUAAUAUUAUUGGAUGGCAUCAUGUGAUAAUUAAAACUGCGGUGGUGAAAGAUGGGCAUGCGUCCUAUUAGCUAGUUGGAGUGGUAACGGCACCCCAAGGCUACGAUAGGUAGGGGUCCUGAGAGGGAGAUCCCCCACACUGGUACUGCGACACGGACCACACUCCUACGGGAGGCAGCAGUGUGGAAUAUUGGUCAAUGGUCGCAAGACUGAACCAGCCAUGCCGCGUGCAGGAAGAAUGCCUUAUGGGUUGUAAACUGCUUUUAUAUGGGAAGAAUAAGGCGUACGUGUACGUUGAUGACGGUACCAUAUGAAUAAGCAUCGGCUAACUCCGUG
rnacentral:rRNA from 1 species